rfam:Candidatus Melainabacteria bacterium RIFOXYA2_FTLL_32_9 rifoxya2_full_scaffold_1112, whole genome shotgun sequence.
GGCAUAGUAGCUCAGUUGGUAGAGCACGUGGCUCAUACCCGCGCGGUCACUGGUUCGAGUCCAGUCUAUGCCA